rnacentral:rRNA from 1 species
GUUGCUUAGCGUUGGGAGCCUACAGAUACCCUCUGUAGUUCCUUAAAGUUAGUGGCGGAGUCGGUUUCACACUCUAGACGUAGUAAAUUUUAUCUCGCCUAUAGAUGAGCCGGUCCCUUGCCGUAAAACCCCCUAAUUUCUAAAAGUGACCUCGAUCAGUAGAAACCCGCUGACUAA